AUCUCUUGGUUCCGGCAUCGAUGAAGAACGCAGCGAAAUGCGAUAAGUAAUGUGAAUUGCAGAAUUCAGUGAAUCAUCGAGUCUUUGAACGCACAUUGCGCCCCCUGGUAUUCCGGGGGGCAUGCCUGUCCGAGCGUCAUUGCUACCCUCAAGCCCG
rnacentral:rRNA from 1 species